rnacentral:rRNA from 1 species
AUUGAACGCUGGCGGCAGGCCUAACACAUGCAAGUCGAGCGGCUGCACAGUGAGUGCUCGUGGUUACAGCGGCCGACGGGCGGGUGGUGCCUAGGAACCUGCCAGGCUGCGGGGGCUUACGUGCGGACGCGGGCGCUCAUACCGCAUUCGUCCUGAGGGCGUAAGUGGGGGAUCAUCGGACCUUAGGCUCUCAGAUGAGCCUAGGUGGCGAUGUCGGAUUAGCUAGUUGGAGGGGUAAAGGCCCACCAAGGCGACGAUCCGUAGCUGGUCUGAGAGGAUGAUCAGCCACACUGGAACUGAGACACGGUCCAGACUCCUACGGGAGGCAGCAGUAGGGAAUAUUGGACAAUGGGCGAAAGCCUGAUCCAGCCAUGCCGCGUGUGUGAAGAAGGUCUUCGGGUUGUAAAGCACUUUUGGUUGGAAAGAAAAGCAGUAAGUUAAUACCUCGCUGUUUUGACGGUACCAAAAGAAUAAGCACCGGCUAACUUCGUG